UUACAAACGGCCGUGCGUCCCGGCCAUCUCAAGGCUGUAACACGGGUUCGAAUCCCGUAGGGAGCGCCA
rnacentral:tRNA from 1 species